rnacentral:rRNA from 1 species
UGCUGACGAGUGGCGAACGGGUGAGUAAUACAUCGGAACGUGCCUAGUAGUGGGGGAUAACUACUCGAAAGAGUGGCUAAUACCGCAUGAGAUCUAUGGAUGAAAGCAGGGGACCUUCGGGCCUUGUGCUACUAGAGCGGCCGAUGGCAGAUUAGGUAGUUGGUGGGAUAAAAGCUUACCAAGCCUACGAUCUGUAGCUGGUCUGAGAGGACGAUCAGCCACACUGGGACUGAGACACGGCCCAGACUCC